rnacentral:rRNA from 1 species
AAGCCCCAGUGAACGGCGGCCGUAACUAUAACGGUCCUAAGGUAGCGAAAUUCCUUGUCGGGUAAGUUCCGACCCGCACGAAAGGCGUAACGAUUUGGGCACUGUCUCAACAACAGACUCGGUGAAAUUGUAAUUCCGGUGAAGAUGCCGGAUACCUGCGACAGGACGGAAAGACCCCAUGGGGCUUUACUGUAGCUUGACAUUGGGUCUUGGUACUACAUGUACAGGAUAGGUGGGAGGCUUUGAAACCAGGACGCCAGUUUUGGCGGAGCCAUCCUUGGGAUACCACCCUUGUAGUACUGGGACUCUA